rnacentral:rRNA from 1 species
GAUGAACGCUGGCGGCGUGCUUAAUACAUGCAAGUCGAGCGAACAGACGUGGAGCUUGCCCCCCUGACGUUAUCGGCGGGCGCGUGAGUAAAACGUGGAUACAACCUCUCUUUCACUGGGAUAAAUUAGUGAAACAGGAGCUCAUAUCGGGCAUACUAUUCAACCGCAUGAUCCAAUAGUGAAAAACGGUUUCGCUGAUACUUAUACAUGGAUUCGCGCCGCAUUAGCUAGUUGGUAAGGUAACGGCUUACCAAGGGAACGAUGCGUAGCCGUCCGGAGAGGGUGAUCGGCCACACGGGAACUGGAACACGCUCCAGACUCCUACGGGAGGCAGCGGUGGGGAAUCUUCCGCAAGGGGCGAAGGCCUGACGGAGCAACGCCGCGGGGUGAAUAAAGGUCUUCGGUUCUUAAAACCCUUUUAUUAGGAAAGAACGAAUGUUUAAGUAUAGAUACACGUCUUGACGGUACCUAAUCAGAAAGCCACGGCUAACUACGUG